rnacentral:rRNA from 1 species
GACGAACGCUGGCGGCGUGCCUAAUACAUGCAAGUAGAACGCUGAAGAGAGGAGCUUGCUCUUCUUGGAAGAGUUGCGAACGGGUGAGUAACGCGUAGGUAACCUGCCUUGUAGCGGGGGAUAACUAUUGGAAACGAUAGCUAAUACCGCAUAACAAUGGAUGACACAUGUCAUUCAUUUGAAAGGGGCAACUGCUCCACUACAAGAUGGACCUGCGUUGUAUUAGCUAGUAGGUGAGGUAACGGCUCACCUAGGCGACGAUACAUAGCCGACCUGAGAGGGUGAUCGGCCACACUGGGACUGAGACACGGCCCAGACUCCUACGGGAGGCAGCAGUAGGGAAUCUUCGGCAAUGGGGGCAACCCUGACCGAGCAACGCCGCGUGAGUGAAGAAGGUUUUCGGAUCGUAAAGCUCUGUUGUAAGUCAAGAACGAGUGUGAGAGUGGAAAGU